rnacentral:lncRNA from 1 species
AGCCAGUUUCUUAUACUAGCACACCAUCAAUAGUCUGAUCUAAGGCCUUUAGGAGGAAUUAGGCGACUAGGGAUCCACGAAAAUCCUACAUUUAAAAAUAAUAAAAACUUAAAAAUAAUCAGCCUCUCUCUCACGCUUCCAGGCAUGCUGACGCGGGCGUAGUGGUCCAAACGGAGGCUCCUGCAUCGCCAUGAAAAAAAAAUAUGGUGACCCGAG